rnacentral:lncRNA from 1 species
AGUUCAAACUAGUUGAGACCACUGACCCUUCAACUGGGUCUGCAUGGGUGCCUGAGAGGUGGCCUUUUGAUAUCAGAGGGUCAAAAACUCCACCCUCAAGAUCAUGCUAAUGUUGCCAUUUUCUGUACAUAUGUCCUGUGAACUGUUCGUCCACCUCAUCUCUUGGUGACCUAGUGUGUAAAUCUUUUCUCUUUUGCAGAAUCUAUGUCACAGUGAUUGAUUUACUGCAUAUGAGCAGAAUGAACCUGGACCUGGCCAGUAUCAUUAAGCUGUGUUUCCCCUGAAGUUAUGUGAAAAGCAUUUGUGGAUUUAACAGAGUUAAGGGUCUCACUUCAUCACCUAGACUGGAGUACAGUAGCACAGUUGCAGCUUCCUACAUCUUGACUUCCUGGGUUCCAGUGAUCCUCCCCCUUCAGCCUCUCAGCAGAGAGAGAAAGAAAGCAGAGCUCUUUGAAGCAGAGAAAGAAAGCAGAAAGCAGAGAUCUUUGAAGGCUUAAGAAACCAUAAGGAGUUUUGGAGAGUCAAUGCAUGAUGAUCUCUGAAGAUUCUACUGAAAUCUAAUCAAUAUGUCCUCACUGCCAUCAAUUCAAAAGAACUUGCUAAGAAGGCUCUAGAGGCUUGUACUCUCAGAUAGUGAAAGUGAGAUGAUGUGUAGUGAAAGUCAUAUAUAGGUUGUAAAUUGCAAUAUGGAAUUCCCAAAUGCUGAAUUCAUUUUAUCUCUUCGGAAAUAAAAACCUGUUAAAGACUCA